UUGGGUUAAGUCCCGCAACGAGCGUAACCCUUGUUUUUAGUUGCCUUUCGAGGAUAUUUAGAAAGACUGCCGAUUAUAAAUCGGAGGAAGGUAAGGACGACGUCAAGUCAUCAUGCCCCUUAUGUCCAGGGCUUCACGCAUGCUACAAUGGCUGGUACAGAGAGUGGCGAGCCUGUGAGGGUGAGCGAAUCUCGGAAAGCCGGUCUCAGUUCGGAUUG
rnacentral:rRNA from 1 species